UCCCAAAUAGCUCAACGGCAGAGCAACCGGCUGUUAACCGGUAGGUUGCAGGUUCGAAUCCUGCUUUGGGAGCCA
rnacentral:tRNA from 1 species